AAGUCGUAACAAGGUUUCCGUAGGUGAACCUGCGGAAGGAUCAUUAUCGAAUAAACUUGAGCAUGCUGUUUGCUGGCCCCUGCCCUGGGGUAUGUGCACGCUUGUUCUUUUGUUAUUUCUCCAACCUGUGCACAUUUUGUAGACCCUGGAGAUUUUAUGAAUUUUGAUUCGAUUCGGGACUGCUGAUGCUUCCCUUUGUUGAAGCCGGCUUUGCCUUGCACCUCCAGGUCUAUGUCAUUUUUCACAACCUCUUUUUAAAAAAACAUGUUUGGAAAAAAUAUAAAUGAAAUAUACAACUUUCAGCAACGGAUCUCUUGGCUCUC
rnacentral:misc_RNA from 1 species